ensembl:lncRNA
CUGGAGGAAAGACAAAGGGAAAACUGGAGGCAGCCGAUACAAAUUAGCACAGAGUUGGCUACAUAAGGAGCUUAAAUUGUCAUCUUUUUAUGUUGUUGGAUGCCAGAAUCAACAGAGUAAAGGGUCCAAUUUAAAAUUUUAUCGCAUAGCUGCUGCCACUGACAGACAAAAAAAACGACGACAGCUGUGGUUAAACGCAGUAAAAGGACAGAGCAGAAACGAUCAUCAGACGAUCAACAAUCAUCAGGACAGAAAUGAUCAUCAAAAAUGCUAGCAUUUGCAGCACACACUUCAUAUCAGAGAAAUGCAUCCAACCUAAUUGGGAGGAACUUCAUCAUGCAGCAAGAACAUACUCAAAACACACUGCCAACACAACAAAGGACUUCAUCAGGGGGUAAAAGUGGAAGAUUUUAGACUGACCAAGUCAGUCACCAGACCUCAAACCAGUUGAGCAGCAUUUCACCUCCUGAAGAUGAGAUUGAAGAGAGAAACCCCUCUAAAACAAACAAAAUCUGCAGUGCAAGCCUGGAAAAGCAACACAAUGUGUGUGUGUGUGUGUGUGUGUGUGUGUGUGUGUGUGUGUGUGUGUGUGUGUGUGUGUGUGUGUGUGUGUGAGAGAGAGAGAGAGAGUGUAGCCAAUCUACCCACCAGCAUGUUUUGGGAAGUAGGAGGAAACUGGAGCACACAGUGGAAACCCACAUAGACAUGGGGAGAAAAUGAGAAGCUCCACACAUUGUAACCAGAGAUCAGGAUGAAACCUGGGAUGCUGGAGCUGUGAGGUGACCGUGAGGUGACAACGCUGCCUGCUCACCACCAUGUUGCUCCUUUUAAAAAAUUUAAUAUACAAACUGGGAGCUAUAUACCAAUUAUAAUGUGCAAUUCCACAUUCACUUCCUAACAGAGUCUGAUGCUUGUGUUGUGUACUGAAGAACAAAGUGAUUCUGGCUUUAAGUUCCCACACAGGAAGUGACUGUAGCAAGGACGGAGUCAUUCUGUGUGCAUGUUGAGAAAAACAUCUGCCUACCCAAGUCAGUCUGAAGUCAUCAACAGGAUGGGGCUUGGCAAGUUUCCAAGCUGGUAAAAGCAGAGCCACAGAAUGAUGGGUGUUCCUGGGAUAGGCUCUGGAUCCUGCAUGACCCUGACCAGUUACUGAAGGUGACUGAAAGAGUGAUAUAUUCGAGUAAAGGAAUACUUGCAGAAACAUUGGUACUUGUGAGGUG